GUUUUGACAACAGUUGGUUAGAAUAUGGUGCUAGUAACACCAAGGCUGUGGGUUCAAUCCCCAUAUGAGCCA